rnacentral:rRNA from 1 species
UUUCUUGGUUCCAAUUAGAGGAAGUAAAAGUCGUAACAAGGUUUCCGUAGGUGAACCUGCGGAAGGAUCAUUACAGAGAUCAUGCCCUUCGGGGUAGACCUCCCACCCUUUGUUAUACCAACGAAUGUUGCUUUGGCGAGCCGCCCUAGGCCGUCGGCCUCGGCUGACGCGUGCUCGCCAGAGACCCCAAACUCUGUAUCAGUGUCGUCUGAGUACUAUAUAAUAGUUAAAACUUUCAACAACGGAUCUCUUGGUUCUGGCAUCGAUGAAGAACGCAGCGAAAUGCGAUAAGUAAUGUGAAUUGCAGAAUUCAGUGAAUCAUCGAAUCUUUGAACGCACAUUGCGCCCCUUGGUAUUCCGGGGGGCAUGCCUGUUCGAGCGUCAUUUCAACCCUCAAGCUCUGCUUGGUCUUGGGCCCUGCCGGCAACGGCUGGCCUCAAAAGUAGUGGCGGCGCCAUCGUGCUCUCAGCGUAGUAAUUCUUCUCGCUGUUGGGUCCCGGUGGACGCUGGCCAGCAACCCCCCAUUUUCUAAUGUUGACCUCGGUUCAGGUAGGGAUACCCGCUGAACUUAAGCAUAUCAAUAAGGCGGAGG